UGUAAUAAAGGGCCUUGUUCUUGGCUGAGAAUUUCACAUCCAAUAAAUCAAACCGAUGACCAACAAUAUGGUGGAAAAGCAGAACCAAACAAUAAAAUUACACUUCAAAAUCCAAGGAUUUCAGAACUCAAAGGGACCUCAGAGACGACAGAGACAGUGUGGAGCAGAAAAAAGAUGCAACAUCAAAAGAAGAGCUGGGCCGGGCGCGGUGUCUCACGCCUGUAAUCGCAGCACUAUGGGAGGCCGAUUGCAGAGGAUGCAGCAGGUGAGUCCUGUAGACAUCAGAGGGGC
rnacentral:lncRNA from 10 species